UUAACAUUGAGAUUGAACCGCAAAUUGUCUAACCACAGAAAAAGAAUCGACAACAAAUUGACUAUAUAUAUCGCGAUUUGUCAUAGUAUAUUUAUUUAUUCUUAGUUGUCACCUGACUUGAGUGUACUUGCUCUCUCUGUAAUUAAUAACUCAACAAUAAACUUAAAAUGUCGAAAAUCAUUUUAUUAUUAUCACUUUUUGUAUUAAUUGGCAUUUUUGCCACUGCAGCUGGCGAGUGUGAUGGCCAGUGGUGUCAUCCUUCCCAAGGCUAUGGUUGUUGUUCCUUCUAUGGAUGCAGUUCAUAUUUUAGCCAAGGCAAUUGUAUACCUAAUGGAGCAAUUAGUGAAGGCAGACGUUAAUGAUUUAAAAAUAUGGAAGUAGUAUUGUAACGACAAAAUGCCACUUCAAAAAUUUCGUAGUAAAUAUUUCGUAGUAUAUGAGUAUCUGAAUCUGUAAGCUUUGUUAGCACAUUUGAUUUGUUGAUUAAAUUUUUUUGUGGAAUAUUAACUUUAUGAUUUAUUAAUCUUCAUUAUACCAUUUUUGCAAUUUUUGUUUGUCUCUCUAUCUUUCUGUUUGUUUUUCUGUCUAUCUAUAUGUUAAUCUGGCCGUCUUAUCAUCAUAUCAUGGACAAUAAUAUGCAGUAUCAUUUACUACAAGAUUGCAGUAAAUGUUUUUGUAGUUAAAAAUAUCAUAUAAAUGAUAACAGUUACUAAAUAUGCAUCAAAUUUUACCAAGUUAAUAAGUUGAAUUUACUCCUAUCUUGCGGUUAAUUCUACUGCACACUGCAGUAACAAAUACUCCAGGCAGGAGUUGAGAGUAUAUAUGUUAUGAUAAUUCACGAUAUAUAGUCAUUUGUUAUCGAUUCUACUUCUGCGGUUACACGAUUUGCGGUUCAAUAUCAAGUUCAAUAGCGAAAAAAAAUUAUUUUUAGGAAUGAUCAAAGAUAAAUAUUUAUCUCAUGACAGUUAUAGAUAUGCAUAUAGACGGAAAAAAUUAAUUAUGAUAAGUACGAAAAUUCUUUGUCUAUGCAAGAAAUAGUUAUUUAUGUACCUUGGAUGAACCUCGCGCCAUUACGGUCGAGGUGAGUAAUGUUUACAGCAGGGAUAGUAUAAAGCCGAGACACGUUAGGGCCAAGGCUUUGUAUCUCUGCUGCAAAAAUUAAUCACUGAGACCGUAUUGGCAGGCGAGGUUUGCCCAUGGUGCUUAAAAAAUUUUUCACCCUACGGUGGACGUAUGUGGGUUUUUAGGUGGAGAGGUCACUCGAUCGCAUAACAUGCGCCCG